rnacentral:snRNA from 1 species
GUGCUGGGAAUUAUUUAUGCAGAAAAUCUGCCACUAACAGGGCAACACAUAUAUUAAAAUUGGAAUGAUACAGAGAAGAUUAGCAUGGCCCCUGCACAAAGAUGACACGCAAGUUACAAACCACAGUACCUAAAAUU